rnacentral:rRNA from 1 species
UACGUAGGUGGCAAGCGUUAUCCGGAUUUACUGGGUGUAAAGGGAGCGUAGACGGCGGUGCAAGCCAGAUGUGAAAGCCCGGGGCUCAACCCCGGGACUGCUUUUGAAACUGUGUGACUGGAGUGCAGGAGAGGUAAGCGGAAUUCCUGGUGUAGCGGUGAAAUGCGUAGAUAUCAGGAGGAACACCAGUGGCGAAGGCGGCCUGCUGGACCGCGACUGACGUUGAGGCUCGAAAGCGUGGGGAGCGAACAGG